GGCAGUGUGGUGCAGUGGUUUCAGCUUUGGACUAUAACUCUGAAGAUUAGGUUCAAUUCCCUACUUGGCCA